GACGAACGCUGGCGGCGUGCUUAACACAUGCAAGUCGAACGGAAAGGCCCUGCUUGCAGGGUACUCGAGUGGCGAACGGGUGAGUAACACGUGGGUGAUCUGCCCUGCACUUCGGGAUAAGCCUGGGAAACUGGGUCCAAUACCGGAUAGGAGCCAUUUUUAGCGUGAUGGUUGGAAAGUUUUUUCGGUGUAGGAUGAGCUCGCGGCCUAUCAGCUUGUUGGUGGGGUAAUGGCCUACCAAGGCGGCGACGGGUAGCCGGCCUGAGAGGGUGGGCGGCCACAUUGAGACUGAGGGGCGGCCCAGGCGCCGACGGGAGGCAGCAGUGGGGAAUCUUGCACAAUGGGCGCAAGCCUGAUGCAGCGGGGCCGCGUGGGGGAUGGCGGCCUUCGGGUUGAAGACUCCGUUCGCUAGGGACGAAGCUUUUUGUGACGGUACCUAGAGAAGAAGCACCGGCUAACUACGUG
rnacentral:rRNA from 1 species